AGCCUUCUGUAUCUGUGCUGAGAGUUCGUCAUACACCAGACCACAAGGGUUGAUGAGACUUCCAAGAUAAGUGAAGCG
rfam:Schistosoma curassoni strain Dakar, Senegal genome assembly, scaffold: SCTD_scaffold0018258